UCGGGAAUUUUGGGCAAUGGGGGAAACCCUGACCCAGCAACGCCGCGUGAAGGAUGAAGUAUUUCGGUAUGUAAACUUCGAAAGAAUAGGAAGAAUAAAUGACGGUACUAUUUAUAAGGUCCGGCUAACUACGUGCCAGCAGCCGCGGUAAUACGUAGGGACCAAGCGUUGUUCGGAUUUACUGGGCGUAAAGGGCGCGUAGGCGGCAUGACAAGUCACUUGUGAAAUCUCUGGGCUUAACCCAGAACGGCCAAGUGAUACUGUCGCGCUAGAGUGCAGAAGGGGCAAUCGGAAUUCUUGGUGUAGCGGUGAAAUGCGUAGAUAUCAAGAGGAACACCUGAGGUGAAGACGGGUUGCUGGGCUGACACUGACGCUGAGGCGCGAAAGCG
rnacentral:rRNA from 1 species